GAUGGAGAACGUAGCGAAAUGCGAUAAGUAGUGUGAAUUGCAGAAUUCAGUGAAUCAUCGAAUCUUUGAACGCACAUUGCGCCCCUUGGUAUUCCAUGGGGCAUGCCUGUUCGAGCGUCAUUUGUACCCUCAAGCUCUGCUUGGUGUUGGGUGUUUGUCUCGCGGUUCUGCGCAGACUCGCCUUAAAACAAUUGGCAGCCGGCUUGUUAGCCUGGAGCGCAGCACAUAUUGCGCCUCUUGCUAGCGACUGCCCGGCACCCAUCAAGCCCAUUUAUUUGCUCUUGACCUCGGAUCAGGUAGGGAUACCCGCUGAACUUAAGCAUAUCAAUAAGCGGAGGA
rnacentral:misc_RNA from 1 species